rnacentral:rRNA from 1 species
ACGCUCGACACCUACGGGAGGCAGCAGUAGGGAAUCUUCCACAAUGGGCGCAAGUCUGAUGGAGCAACGCCGCGUGAGUGAAGAAGGUUUUCGGAUCGUAAAGCUCUGUUGUUGGUGAAGAAGGAUAGAGGUAGUAACUGGCCUUUAUUUGACGGUAAUCAACCAGAAAGUCACGGCUAACUACGUGUCAGCAGCCGCGGUAAUCUGAGCGGGCUGGCAAGGC